CACAUGGCAAAGACGACGCGACGUUCAGAAGAUGUCAGCUGUACAACUUUGAAAUCGGAAAAAUCAAGAUGUGCAUGAUACCAACAAGAAUGUGAACUUUUCAAAGAGCAUGAUAUUUCCAAUUUUCCACAUCUCUAGACCAGUGACCACAAAUGUACAUACAAGUACCCACAGAUGACAGCCAUAUUGACUCCAGUAGAUAAUAUUCAUCUCCAUCAGCUGGUUACUAGCUGUACAUAGUGGUCAAACCAGGAUAUCCACUAAUUGCAUUCAGUGAUGUGAAUUGUCAUCUGCAUUUGUGCUUAUGAACUUUAGUAAACUGUCAAGUUUUAAUAUCAAGAAAAUGACUGCUGAAAAAGCAUCUAAUCUUGUGU